rnacentral:rRNA from 1 species
UGCAUCGAUGAGAACGCAGCGAAAUGCGAUACGUAGUGUGAAUUGCAGAAUUCCGCGAAUCAUCGAGUCUUUGAACGCAAGUUGCGCCCGAGGCUUGUCCAAGGGCAUUUCCGCUAGAGCGUCACCGCGCCCCCCACCGAUCCACUCCCCUUGAUCGGGAGUCGGGUCGAGUGAAAGUGGCCAUCCCGGAGUGAAGUGAAGGCUUUCACGAAGGGUUGGCUGAAAUGGAAGGAAUCGGGCCGCCGUGGUGACACAGUCCGCGAUCGGGUGAUCCGAGCUCCUCCGGGAGCCCGGAAUAUUUCUAAGUGCGUGGCUGCGUCCCCCAGUUGGUUCGGGUUUCCCUCGUGCAGGUCGAGCGCGCCCCCGCGGCGCGCGUCACGCAUCAGACCUCUAAUCGGAAAA